AAUCAACGCUGGCGGCGUGCCUCAGACAUGCAAGUCGAACGAUUAAAGCUCUCUUCGGAGAGUGUAUAGAGUGGCGCACGGGUGAGUAACACGUAAGUAAUCUACCCUCGAGUGGGGAAUAACAACCGGAAACGGUUGCUAAUACCGCAUAAUGCAGCGGCACCGCAAGGUGACAGUUGUUAAAGAUUUAUCGCUUGAGGAGGAGCUUGCGGCAGAUUAGCUAGUUGGUAGGGUAACGGCUUACCAAGGCUACGAUCUGUAACCGGUCUAAGAGGACGGUCGGUCACACUGACACUGAAUAACGGGUCAGACUCCUACGGGAGGCAGCAGUGGGGAAUCUUGCGCAAUGGGCGAAAGCCUGACGCAGCGACGCCGCGUGGGUGAUGAAGGCC
rnacentral:rRNA from 1 species